rnacentral:rRNA from 1 species
AGAGUUUGAUCCUGGCUCAGAGCGAACGCUGGCGGCAGGCCUAACACAUGCAAGUCGAGCGCCCCGCAAGGGGAGCGGCAGACGGGAGAGUAACACGUGGGAACGUACCCUUCAGUUCGGAACAACCCAGGGAAACUUGGGCUAAUACCGAAUACGUCCGUAAGGAGAAAGAUUUAUCGCUGAAGGAUCGGCCCGCGUCUGAUUAGCUUGUUGGUGAGGUAACGGCUCACCAAGGCGACGAUCAGUAGCUGGUCUGAGAGGAUGAUCAGCCUCACUGGGACUGAGACACGGCCCAGACUCCUACGGGAGGCAGCAGUGGGGAAUAUUGGACAAUGGGCGCAAGCCUGAUCCAGCCAUGCCGCGUGGGUGAUGAAGGCCCUAGGGUUGUAAAGCCCUUUCGGCGGGGAAGAUAAUGACGGACCCGCA